AUUGUAACUCUGGAUGUUGUAUGUAGGGUCGAAAUGAAGUAGAUUAGCUUGAUUUCUGCCACUUACAAAAUAGUUUGGGAUAAAAUACUUCUAUGACCCUAAGAUUCUACAUGUACUUAAAAAAGAUAAUAUUGUGUUUUAUGACUAUUGCUGUGUAACAAAUCAUUAUAAAACUCUAAAGUUUAAAAAGACAACUGUAUGUUAUUUCUCAAAAGACUAUGGGAAGAUUUGCUGAUCUUGAUUGGAAUCUCUGAUGCAUCUAAUGUCAGUAUAUUUGUUGGGGGCUGGUCUGGUCUAGGAUAACUUCAGCUGUGAUGAUUUCAAUGGUCUCUCAAGUUCUUCCAGACUAGCGUGGACUUGUUCAUAUGGAUAUUAGCUGGGUUCCAAGAGAGGAAGUGCAGAAGCAUACAAGGACUUGUGAGACUCAGGCUCAGACUGGUACAGCAUCACUUCAAUUGCAUCCUUUUGGCCAAAGAAAAAGGAAUGUAGGUUCCAUUUCUCAACUGGAAGGUUCAUCAUUUUACCUCCAAUUAUUCUUUUGGAAUGGGAACAAUGGGAUUAAUAUAAGAAAAAGAAAAAAAUGGAAACAAAGUCUUUGUAGAAUAUUGCAUAAUAGGAAGAAAAGGUCUAAAGGAGAAGGGGAAGUGGGAGGGGUAGGGGAAAGGAAAGAAGGGAAUGGAAUUAAUAUGAGAAAAUGAAAAAAUGGAAACAAAGUCUUUGUAGAUAGGGAGGGGUGGAGGGGUUGAAGGGAGGGCAGGGGAAUGGGGAAAAAAUAAGAACCAAGAGAGAUUAUGUAAAGGUGCAAAUUUCCAAUGAUGAAUUAUAUUGGAAAUUGUAUUCCUGAAUUAUAUUGGAAA
rnacentral:lncRNA from 1 species